AAUCUGCCUUUAGGUCGGGGACAACAGUUGGAAACGACUGCUAAUACCGGAUGUGCAGCAAUGUGAAAGAUUUAUUGCCUAAAGAUGAGCUCGCGUCUGAUUAGCUAGUAGGUGUGGUAAUGGCGCACCUAGGCGACGAUCAGUAACCGGUCCGAGAGGAUGACCAGUCACACUGGGACUGAGACACGGCCCAGACUCCUACGGGAGGCAGCAGUGGGGAAUUUUCCGCAAUGGGCGAAAGCCUGACGGAGCAAUACCGCGUGAGG
rnacentral:rRNA from 1 species